rnacentral:rRNA from 1 species
UACAGAGGGGGCAAGCGUUGUUCGGAAUUACUGGGCGUAAAGCGUGCGCAGGCGGUUCGUUGUGUCUGAUGUGAAAGCCCCGGGCUCAACCUGGGAAUGGCAUUGGAAACUGGCGAGCUAGAGUGUGGCAGAGGGGGGUGGAAUUCCGCGUGUAGCAGUGAAAUGCGUAGAGAUGCGGAGGAACACCGAUGGCGAAGGCAGCCCCCUGGGCUGACACUGACGCUCAGGCACGAAAGCGUGGGGAGCAAACAGG